UACGUAGGGACCAAGCGUUGUUCGGAUUUACUGGGCGUAAAGGGCGCGUAGGCGGCAUGACAAGUCACUUGUGAAAUCUCCGGGCUUAACUCGGAACGGCCAAGUGAUACUGUCAAGCUAGAGUGCAGAAAGGGCAAUCGGAAUUCUUGGUGUAGCGGUGAAAUGCGUAGAUAUCAAGAGGAACACCUGAGGCGAAGGCGGGUUGCUGGGCCGACACUGACGCUGAUGCGCGAAAGCCAGGGGAGCGAACGGG
rnacentral:rRNA from 1 species